UACGUAGGGAGCAAGCGUUGUCCGGAAUCAUUGGGCGUAAAGCGCGCGUAGGUGGCCUCGUAAGUCCGCUGUGAAAGUCCAAGGCUCAACCUUGGAAAGCCGGUGGAUACUGUGAGGCUAGAGUACGGAAGAGGCGAGUGGAAUUCCUGGUGUAGCGGUGGGAUGCGCAGAUAUCAGGAGGAACACCGGUGGCGAAGGCGGAUCUCUGGGCCUGUCCUGACGCUCAGGCGCGAAAGCUAGGGGAGCAAACAGG
rnacentral:rRNA from 1 species